rnacentral:rRNA from 1 species
CAGCAGCCGCGGGAAUACGAAGGGGGCUAGCGUUGUUCGGAAUUACUGGGCGUAAAGCGCACGUAGGCGGAUUUUUAAGUCAGGGGUGAAAUCCCGAGGCUCAACCUCGGAACUGCCUUUGAUACUGGAGAUCUUGAGUUCGGAAGAGGUUGGUGGAACAGCCAGUGUAGAGGUGAAAUUCGUAGAUAUUAGCUAGAACACCAGUGGCGAAGGCGGCCAACUGGUCCGAUACUGACGCUGAGGUGCGAAAGCGUGGGGAGCAAACAGGAUUAGAUACCCCUGUAGUCCCUGUCUCUUAUAA